rnacentral:rRNA from 1 species
AUGUCGCUGCCAUCACCCAGAAGGUCGAUUGCCUCCACCUCGACGCUGGACAGGGAAGCACCAGUCAGGUGGGCGGACCGCAGCAGCUAUUCUGCCCCCCUUCAUUGGCCAUCCUCGACGCUCCGCCAACUCCUCCUGCCCGUCCACGCUCAUCAGCUCCCCCGAAAGUGCGGGCCUCUUCUGCUCCUUCUCGCCGAAGCGCGCAUCAGGCCGCGUCCGGCUGCACUGUGCCCGUGGCUCAGCACGCGGUGCUGCACCUCGUCCAAGAACUCGGCGGCCUCGGCCCAAAGGAUCGGAUGA